AUAGGAGCAUUACUAUGAUCCAGAGAGCGGUUCAGGAUACCUUGCAUGGCGUUUAAAGACAAUUCAAAGGAAAACUGCAGAGGAAAGGGGUGCCUCAGGUAGCAAAUCUCCCAAAAAGGUGGUGGACCAGGCUAUGGUCAAUCCAGGGUUUUCACUGCUGACAAAGUGCUGUGAGAUGAGGAAGUGGAAGCAGCUAUUGCUGUUUUGAAACACUCUGCUGAUGAUGACACUGUCCGUGAGAAGAUGAAGACUAACUUCCAUUACCGUCAUUCAAUGGUCAAUGAUGAAAAGAAAGCAGCAAAUGUCUUCUCUGUCUUUCCACGGUUUCUGGACACACCAGGACUGAUAGAAAAAGAUUUCAGACUCCUGUUUGGCGAAGACACUGCUAACAAAUCUUUGGAGAAGUGGCCCUCCAGUCUCAAAUCCAAGGUUAUAAAGGAAAGCCAUGGCCUGUUACUGACCACUGAGCUCUUGGAUUUAUUGCGGAAUGCAGAGUUGGCUGCUGAAGCUGAGAAUGCUGCAUCUGCUACCACCAUCUGCACAAGGACGAAAGAGGCCGGGUAAGAUGUCUGCAUCUCAAGCAGUGGAUCACCUCAUCAGAUGUCUAACGGUUGGAACCAGUGUACAGAGGCAUCUUGACAAAAUCAAGCAACAUACCCAGCCCUACCUGAUUGCCCAGGGAUCC